rnacentral:rRNA from 1 species
AUGGCGAAUUGCCUCCAAUGGCGUGGUUGUCCUAAUGCGGGUUUUGCCACUUGUGCAAGAGAGAGCAUGAAUGUUAUCUACACUUGCUCUUCAAGCGUACAUACACCACGCACAUUUGGGAGCAAGUCAAGCUUUGACUCGGGAUGGUGGAUUUGCACACGGAAGAUUGGGACAACUUCCUUCGUCCCACGAAUUGGUGGUGCUCAAUGGCCAACAUUAGGGGCCAAAAUGGCACCGACAACACAAUCCUCCUCAUGCUUGCUUCAUGGGAGAUUUGGAACGAGCAAAUUGGGAGAGUUUUUAGAAACAUUUGUGAAACAGUCGGUAUGGUUGACUAAAAGGGGGUGA